rnacentral:lncRNA from 1 species
CUUGGCCCUCCUACCCUCUCACCAUGAAACGCUUAUCUGAUGCUUACUGUGCACCAGGCACAUUUCUAAGCCUUUUGUAUACAUCAGCUCAUUGGGUCGCUCCAACAACCCUGACAUCAAAAUUGUCCUUCUCAUUUCAGAGAUGAAGAAACUGAGGCACAGAGGAGUGAAAUCAUUGGCUCAGUGCCCCACAUCUCUCUCCAGAAAAGGAAGAGGAAGACGGAGCAUGGGCAGGUCACGGCUGGAGAGGGAGACGGGGUCCGAAGUUGCUGACGGAGAUAAGAGAAUGGGGAUUCAGGAUUCACCGGUUCGGAUCCCGGGUGCUGACAUGGCACCUUUUGGCAAACCAUGCUGAGGGGGAAAGUCCACAUUCCAUCGCUUGGCAUCUGUUCAGUCCACACACACUCCCUGAGCACCCGCUCCAGGCCCCGCCCUGGGCCGGCAACGCAGGGGACACAGCCGGCAGGGAGACAGGCCCAGCCCUGCCCGCACGGGGCUCACACCCCAGCGGGGGCGACACACACAGCGCGACCCAUUUCCACGGAAUCCUAGAGAUGAGCCUGGUGGCCGCUCUGGGAGGUCACGCGGAGUCAUCCUGGCCCCUGGGGGCGUCCCCACUCCCCUUCUCCCUAAAGGACCCUUUCACAAUUUUGGCAAAGUGCAGCCUUCUCCUGUUUGUACCUUAAAUUUGUUCUUUCCGCCUACGUUCUUUGUCCUCCUUUAAUGGGUCCCCAGGGGGCUACCUCGGGGCUCCUCCUAAGCAACAAUAGUCGUGAAAUCACGG